rnacentral:rRNA from 1 species
AGCGAACGCUGGCGGCGUGGAUUAGGCAUGCAUGUCGAGCGAGAAACGGGGGCAACUCCGGAGUAAAGCGGCACACGGGUGAGGAACGCGUAGACAACUUGCCUCUAGGACCGGGAUAACGGCGGGAAACUGCCGCUAAUACCGGAUGGCCUCGGAGCCCGGCAUCGGGUGCCGAGUAAAGGUGGGGACCGCAAGGCCUGCCGCCCAGAGAGAGGUUUACGCCCUAUCAGCUAGUUGGGAGGUACGGCUCACCAAGGCGAUGGACGGGUAGGCGAGCUGA